UACAGAGGUCCCAAGCGUUGUUCGGAUUCACUGGGCGUAAAGGGGGCGUAGGUGGCGGGGUAAGUUUGAUGUGAAAUCUCCGGGCUUAACCCGGAAACUGCAUUGAAUACUAUUCUGCUCGAGGGUUGGAGGGGGGACUGGAAUACUUGGUGUAGCAGUGAAAUGCGUAGAUAUCAAGUGGAACACCAGUGGCGAAGGCGAGUCCCUGGACAACUCCUGACACUGAGGCACGAAAGCUAGGGGAGCGAACAGG
rnacentral:rRNA from 1 species